UUCAACAAGCACAAAUCCGGUUUUUAUAGGACUAAAGAUCCUUUGACAAAAUAAUCCAUCUUUAUUAUAACAAAAAAAAUUUCCUGUAAUACUAGUACACGAAACAAUUUUGCUGCAAAAUAUAACGACUAAUUUUGCAGCAAAAACUUUUCUUCCAGUACUAGUAAGGUGUCAAAAACAUCAUAGCACAAAACAGCUACACAGAGCAGCUAUAACACACACAAUUAAGACAUAAUUAAAAGUUUCAUAUGCAUAACAUUCUAAGGCAUCUAACUUUACCAUCCCAUUUACACUUAACAAAAUGAAACAAAGAAAAAGAGAAGUUCGGGAUAAGAUCCCUUUGUCAGGUUUACAAACAAUUUGGUCACAAUUUUUUUUUUUUUUUAAGAUACAGUGCGUCCAUAGCA